rnacentral:rRNA from 1 species
GACGAACGCUGGCGGCGUGCUUAACACAUGCAAGUCGAACGGAAAGGCCCUGCUUUUGUUGGUUGCUCGAGUGGCGAACGUGUGAGUAACACGUGUGUAACCUGCCCUUUACUUUGUGAUAACUUCUGGAAACUGGGGCUAAUACCGGAUAGUAUCUCCUGCUCCAUGUGGGGGGUUGGAAAGUUUCGGCGGUUGGGUAUCGCCUCGCGGGUUAUCAGCUUGCUGGUGGGGUUGUGGCUUACCAAGGCUUUUACGGGUAGCCGGCCUGGGAGGGUGACCGGGGACAAUAGGACUGAGAGACGGGCCAGACGCGAACGGGAGGCAGUAGGGGGGAGUAUGGCACAAUGGGCGGAAGCCUGAUGCAGCAGAGCAGCGGGCGGGAUAAAGGCCUUCGAGUUGUAAACCGAUGUCGCAUGAGACGAAGCGUGAGUGACGGUAAUGGGUAAAGAAGCACCGGCUAACUACGUG